ACGCUGGCGGCGUGCCUAAUACAUGCAAGUCGAGCGAACGGACGAGAAGCUUGCUUCUCUGAUGUUAGCGGCGGACGGGUGAGUAACACGUGGAUAACCUACCUAUAAGACUGGGAUAACUUCGGGAAACCGGAGCUAAUACCGGAUAAUAUUUUGAACCGCAUGGUUCAAAAGUGAAAGACGGUCUUGCUGUCACUUAUAGAUGGAUCCGCGCUGCAUUAGCUAGUUGGUAAGGUAACGGCUUACCAAGGCAACGAUGCAUAGCCGACCUGAGAGGGUGAUCGGCCACACUGGAACAGAGACACGGUCCAGACUCCUACGGGAGGCAGCAGUAGGGAAUCUUCCGCAAUGGGCGAAAGCCUGACGGAGCAACGCCGCGUGAGUGAUGAAGGUCUUCGGAUCGUAAAACUCUGUUAUUAGGGAAGAACAUAUGUGUAAGUAACUGUGCACAUCUUGACGGUACCUAAUCAGAAAGCCACGGCUAACUACGUGCCAGCAGCCGCGGUAAUACGUAGGUGGCAAGCGUUAUCCGGAAUUAUUGGGCGUAAAGCGCGCGUAGGCGGUUUUUUAAGUCUGAUGUGAAAGCCCACGGCUCAACCGUGGAGGGUCAUUGGAAACUGGAAAACUUGAGUGCAGAAGAGGAAAGUGGAAUUCCAUGUGUAGCGGUGAAAUGCGCAGAGAUAUGGAGGAACACCAGUGGCGAAGGCGACUUUCUGGUCUGUAACUGACGCUGAUGUGCGAAAGCGUGGGGAUCAAACAGGAUUAGAUACCCUGGUAGUCCACGCCGUAAACGAUGAGUGCUAAGUGUUAGGGGGUUUCCGCCCCUUAGUGCUGCAGCUAACGCAUUAAGCACUCCGCCUGGGGAGUACGACCGCAAGGUUGAAACUCAAAGGAAUUGACGGGGACCCGCACAAGCGGUGGAGCAUGUGGUUUAAUUCGAAGCAACGCGAAGAACCUUACCAAAUCUUGACAUCCUUUGACAACUCUAGAGAUAGAGCUUUCCCCUUCGGGGGACAAAGUGACAGGUGGUGCAUGGUUGUCGUCAGCUCGUGUCGUGAGAUGUUGGGUUAAGUCCCGCAACGAGCGCAACCCUUAAGCUUAGUUGCCAUCAUUAAGUUGGGCACUCUAAGUUGACUGCCGGUGACAAACCGGAGGAAGGUGGGGAUGACGUCAAAUCAUCAUGCCCCUUAUGAUUUGGGCUACACACGUGCUACAAUGGACAAUACAAAGGGCAGCGAAACCGCGAGGUCAAGCAAAUCCCAUAAAGUUGUUCUCAGUUCGGAUUGUAGUCUGCAACUCGACUACAUGAAGCUGGAAUCGCUAGUAAUCGUAGAUCAGCAUGCUACGGUGAAUACGUUCCCGGGUCU
rnacentral:rRNA from 1 species